UCUGGACGUCGUGACAGGAUUCACACUUCACCUCCAAGACCUUCAAGCUUCAGAUGAAUCAAACCCAACAGACAGCUGGCUCUGUCCGGACGCUUCCCCCCUGGUCCAGUUUGGCUCCAGCAGGUGUCAUGUGGUGGAUCUUCCAGCUGGAGGUGCUGCUUCACUCCUCCGUGUCCCGGGCGGAGGUGUGGUCCAGGCUGCUGGUGGCGGGCCUGCUGUGCGUGGUGCUGGCGGUCUCUUUGUGGGCCCUGAGGCGCCGCCUGGGGCCACGGCGGAACCAGGAGGAACCCAAACAGUUUCGGGAAGCUGUUCAGAAAAGCAAGAAGAACCACUUUCUGUGGACGUCCCAGAGCAGAAGUCCAGAGCUCCAAGUUCCCGUUUCCGUGGCUCUGGCAGACUCUGUGCUCCUCUGUGUCCUUCAGGAGACCCUCCAGGAGCCCAGUGUGGCCCACAUUGAGGCCCUCCUCUCCAGGUUAGAGGCAGUGGCUCGCUCUCUGGAGAACACCAGCGUCGGAUCAGAACCAAAACCAGAGGAGGACGGAGGCGGCACGCUGUCAGACAAAGUGAAACUGACCUCCGGCUACCUGCAGGAUAGGAUUGGGUCUCUGCAGGCUCUCGUCCAGGUGCAGGCGGGUUUCGAAGCCAGCGUGGAGGACAUGCUGCAGGGCCUGGACGGCCUCUGGAAGCAGCUGGAAGAUCUGCACACAGGGGUCACGCUGUCCAAACGGGAGGGGCAAGGUCACAAAGAUCUGGAUUCAGCGCAGACCGAGGCGGAGACUCUGUUUGCGGUUCUGAAUCACUACAAGAACCAGCUUGGUUCAUGUGAGGUCCAGCUGAAGGAGAGCACGCAGCUGCUGCAGGAGCUGACGUGGAGCCACACCCACAUCUGCAACAAGGUGAACAGCAGCAGCGAGUCCGUCUGGCCCGAGCUCCUCCUGCAGGCCAACAUCGAGCAGUUCGACAAGGUGCAGGAGAGCUUCACCUGCCUGGAGCAGCAGACCUCCACCUUCCAGGCCCACCUGGAGGGGCUCGGGAAAGGACAUCAGGAGCUGAUCUCCGCUGCUGGUCCGAGUUCAGCGACUCGUCAGGACGGCGAGGAGCCGGCGGAGCGCUCCGACGCCGCAGGCUCGGGAAAGAGCUCCUCCCUGCUGCUGUGUGGGAGGUCCGGCCGGCCCCUCUCCUCCCCGUUUGGACGUCUGCGCAAAAACGCAAAGAAAAAGUGAUGCUGGUGUCUCUGUACGUCCAGAAGAUUCUGCAGAUGUUGAUCGUCUGAUUAUUUAGUCUUUUGUCUGCAGCUUGAUGCUGAGUCAUUUCUUAAAGAAAAUAUUGUUUUACGGGCUGUAGAAAGUCAGAAAGGUCGUGGGUCAAAUCCUGCUUGGGUUCUUUCUGUGUAAAGUUUUUUGCCCUGUGACGGUUUGGGGACCUGUCCAGGACGUACUGCGCCUUCAUAGGGAUAGGCUCCAGCAACCCUCUGACCCCUAAAGGGAAAGAGCAGGUUUAGAAAAUGGAAACAAAACACAAGAGGGCGCACUUCCCCCAUUUAUGACCCGAGUUCACGUUUGAAAGAGAAAAACUGGAAUCACCAAACCAAACAUGUCAAAAUAUGUUUUUUUAAAUUGUCAGAAACAUGGUAAAUUAUUCAACUGUUAUUUAUGCAUAAAUAUGAAAAAACCCGCGUGUUUGGUUAUUUUGUAAAAUGUUUGCCUCUGUCUGCAGUAGCUUUAGCAUCUGCAGGAGUCCGAGCGUCUGCGUCAGACCGAAUGUCUGCAGUAGCUUUAGCAUCUGCAGCGGUCCGAGCGUCUGC
rnacentral:lncRNA from 1 species